CAGAAGUCCACCCACCCAAGAAUAUUUGGGCAUCACACAUUAAUCUCCAUGAGUGAAGGAAACAAAACAGGACAGAAAGUUCUGUGAGUAGGAAAGUAGGAUUGGUAUGUGAAUAUGGUCAAAAUAUAUUGAAUACAAGUAUCAUAAAGAUAUAAAAUUAUUGUUUUAGACCCAGGCCAAGACAACAGUGAAGGAGCCAUAAUGAGGAUGAAAGAUUUGCCAACUCCGGGCGUGGUUUUCACUCCAAAUAUUCAGAAGCUGGAGAAGAGAGGAUAGCGAGCUUGAAGCCAGCUUGGGGUGUUUAGUAAGUCCCAGACCAACCCAACCUACCUACACAGUUCCUGCCAAAACAAAACCGUCAUCACCGCCAGCCCCACGGCCAUCAUCAAAAACAACAAAACCCCACAAAGAUUUUACUCUUCAAAACCCUUAGCACAUCAUUUCGUUCGUUUUCUUUCA
rnacentral:lncRNA from 1 species